rnacentral:rRNA from 1 species
UACGAAGGGGGCUAGCGUUGCUCGGAAUCACUGGGCGUAAAGCGCACGUAGGCGGAUUGCUAAGUCAGGGGUGAAAUCCUGGAGCUCAACUCCAGAACUGCCUUUGAUACUGGCGACCUUGAGUCCGGGAGAGGUGAGUGGAACUGCGAGUGUAGAGGUGAAAUUCGUAGAUAUUCGCAAGAACACCAGUGGCGAAGGCGGCUCACUGGCCCGGUACUGACGCUGAGGCGCGACAGCGUGGGGAGCAAACAGG